AUUAGUGUGGCUAGUUUGGACCUGCUCUUUAGUGUUUGUGCAGUCAAUUGGGGACCUCCUGAUGAGUCUAGGUCACUGUCUAGUAAGAAAUUCGUGUCACCCCCAAUGAUCACUUCCCCAAGUGCGUGAGCAGAUAUCAAACCAAGCAGUACAUCAACAAAGUUACAUUGGUUAACAUUAGGUCCAUAGACAUUAAUUAAGGUAUAGACAUUAUUAUUUAGGGAGCAUUGCAAUAUAAGGUACCUUCCCUUUUUAUCUCCUAUUUUGCGUAUUAGGGAGAAAGCUACAUCUCUGCCAAUAAGGAUGGACACUCCUCUUUUUUUUUUGGAGUAACAUGAGUGAAAAUCUAUGGGAUACUGUGGGGAGUUAAACUUCGGUCUGUUACCCCAUUGGAAGUGCGUUUCUUGGAAGAGCAUUACAUGGGCACCUAAUG